GACGAACGCUGGCGGCGUGCUUAACACAUGCAAGUCGAACGAUGAAGCUGGAGCUUGCUCCGGUGGAUUAGUGGCGAACGGGUGAGUAACACGUGAGCAAUCUGCCCUUGACUCUGGGAUAACUGCGGGAAACUGUAGCUAAUACCGGAUACGAGAUUUGGAGGCAUCUCCGGAUCUGGAAAGAAUUUCGGUCAAGGAUGAGCUCGCGGCGUAUCAGCUUGUUGGUGAGGUAAUGGCUCACCAAGGCGACGACGGGUAGCCGGCCUGAGAGGGGGACCGGACACACUGGGACUGAGACACGGCCCAGACUCCUACGGGAGGCAGCAGUGGGGAAUAUUGCACAAUGGGCGAAAGCCUGAUGCAGCAACGCCGCGUGAGGGAUGAAGGCCUUCGGGUUGUAAACCUCUUUUAGUAGGGAAGAAGCGAAAGUGACGGUACCUACAGAAAAAGCACCGGCUAACUACGUGCCAGCCGCCGCAGUAA
rnacentral:rRNA from 1 species